CCCGAGUGUCCCCUUCGGACAUCCCUGGACACUUCCAGGGGCAGCGAUUCCCUGGGCAGGUUAUCCCAGCGCAGCUGGCACUGUCCGUGUGUGUUUGUGUGUUUGUAUUUGUGUGUUUGUGUUUGUAUUUGUGUGUUUGUAUUUGUGUGUUUGUAUUUGUGUGUUUGUAUUUGUGUGUUUGUGUUUGUAUUUGUGUGUUUGUAUUUGUGUGUUUGUAUUUGUGUGUUUGUGUUUGUAUUUGCGUGUGUUUGUGUUUGUGUGUUUGUGUGUUUGUGUGUUUGUAUUUGUGUAUUUGUGUGUUUGUAUUUGUGUAUUUGUGUGUUUGUGUGUGUGUCUGUAUUUGUGUGUGUUUGUGUGUUUGUAUUUGUGUGUUUAUUUGUAUCUGUGUAUUUGUGUUUGUAUCUGUGUGUUUGUGUGUUUGUGUUUGUAUUUGUGUUUGUAUCUGUGUUUGUGUGUUUGUAUCUGUGUGUUUGUGUGUUUGUGUUUGUAUCUGUGUGUUUGUAUCUGUGUGUUUGUGUGUUUGUAUCUGUGUGUUUGUGUGUUUGCGUUUGUGUGUUUGUGUCUGUAUUUGUGUGUUUGUAUUUGUGUGUUUGUAUUUGUGUGUUUGUGUGUUUGUGUUUGUAUUUGUGUGUUUGUAUCUGUGUGUGUGUGUGUUUGUGUUUGUAUUUGUGUGUUUGUGUUUGUGUGUUUGUGUGUUUGUAUCUGUGUGUGUGUGUGUUUGUGUUUGUAUUUGUGUCUGUUUGUGUUUGUUCGUGUGCCAUGGCACAAGCCGGACCGAAGCCCGGAGCCUCCCUGGGAAGCCCGAGGAACUCUGCAGCGCUUCCAGCGGGAACCGCAGCCCGGCCCGGCUGGAUUCGCCAUUCGGCUGCGCUUUUCCUGCCAAAACCCAAGGCACAACGAGCGCAAAACAAACACAAAACAAACAGCGGAGCGCCGGGGCCGCCUCCUCCCGCCCACGGCGCCUCCUCCUCCUCCUCCCCCCGCUCCCAUCCCCUCCUCCCGGGGCUCCGUUUUGGUUCCGGGGCAGCGGCUCC
rnacentral:lncRNA from 1 species